UCCUAACCCCGAUUGCAAUGGAAAUCCUGGCAUUGCGACCUCAAAUUUUGUUUCGGAGAUUGCUUCGCCCCUCGCAAUGACAGAUUGCAAUGGAAAGCGGGAACACGG
rnacentral:sRNA from 1 species